rnacentral:rRNA from 1 species
GACGAACGCUGGCGGCGUGCUUAACACAUGCAAGUCGAACGGAAAGGCCCGGCACUUGUGGGGUGCUCGAGUGGCGAAAGGGUGAGUAUCACGUGAGUAACCUGCCCUUGACUGUGGGAUAACAUCAGGGAACUGGAGCUAAUACAGGAUAUGAGCUCCUGCUGCACGGGGGGGGUUGGAGAGUUUCGGCGUUUGGGCAUGGACACGCGGCUUAUCAGCUUGUUGGUGGGGUGGUGGCGUACAAGGGCAUUGACGGGUAGCCGGCCUGAGAGGGUGACCGGCCACAAUGGGACUGAGAUACGGGCCAGACUCCUACGGGAGGCAGCAGUGGGGAAUAGUGCACACUGGGCGGAAGCAUUAUGCAGCAACGCCGCGUGCGGGAUGACGGCCUUCGGGUUGUAACCCGCGUUCGCCUGUGACGAAGCGUGAGUGACGGUAAUGGGUAAAGAAGCACCGGCUAACUACGUG